rnacentral:rRNA from 1 species
UAGGAGUUUUGGAGUCCCUGGGCUCAGGAUGAACGCUGGCGGCGUGCUAACACAUGCAAGUCGAGCGAAGCACUUCAUUAGAACUCUUCGGAGGGACGAGGAAGUGACUGAGCGGCGGACGGGUGAGUAACGCGUGGGCAACCUGCCUUACACAGGGGGAUAACAGUUAGAAAUGACUGCUAAUACCGCAUAAGACCACAUUGCCGCAUGGCAGGGUGGUAAAAACUCCGGUGGUGUAAGAUGGGCCCGCGUCUGAUUAGGUAGUUGGCAGGGUAGAGGCCUACCAAGCCUACGAUCAGUAGCCGGCCUGAGAGGGUGGACGGCCACAUUGGGACUGAGACACGGCCCAAACUCCUACGGGAGGCAGCAGUGGGGAAUAUUGCACAAUGGGGGAAACCCUGAUGCAGCGACACCGCGUGAGUGAGGAAGUAUUUCGGUAUGUAAAGCUCUAUCAGCAGGGAAGAAAAUGACGGUACCUGACUAAGAAGCCCCGGCUAACUACGUG